rnacentral:rRNA from 1 species
GUCCUGGCCAUAAACGAUGAACACUAGGUAUCGGGGGUUUGACCCCCUCGGCGCCGCCGCUAACGCAUUAAGUGUUCCGCCUGGGGAGUACGGCCGCAAGGUUAAAACUCAAAGGAAUUGACGGGGGCCCGCACAAGCAGUGGAGCAUGUGGUUUAAUUCGAUGCUACGCGAAAAACCUUACCAGGGCUUGACUUCCCGAUGUAAUCCCUUAGAAAUAGGGGACCCCUUCGGGCAUCGGUGACAGGUGGUGCAUGGCUGUCGU